AAUAAAUUUAGAAUGCUGAAUUUUCAUUAUUAAUUUAUUGCAGACAGAUACUGCCUCCGUUCUUGAAGAGGCUUCUCUUUGUAUCAAACUUCUUCAACAACAGAUUCAGAAAUCGUUUCAGAUGCUAGAUAGCUCGUGCCUCUCACAGGAAAUUGAUGAUGGACUUUUAGACCUACAAAGUAGAGGGCUUUGCCUGUUUCCCAUAUCAAUUAUGAAGAAAUUGUCCCAGGAAUAUUGUUUUGAUACUUCGAAUGCUUUGUUCAGUUUCUUGACUUUGACAUAAGAGUAUACUAAUUCUUAUGCAAUCCAUUUUGAUGAAGAAUGAAGAAAUAGUUAUGUAUUCCCCUCAGAUACGAGACCAACUCAUUUCAGAACUCUUUUUGAACCGAGCAAUUGACUUUUUAGAGAUCGUAUACUGAAUUGAAAUGUACUUUAUCGCUUGAGCUACUAUUCAGAGAUAUAUAUAUUUUUAAGAUGUUCAUUAGGUAACUACAAGUUGGAAUGUUCAUAGUUCGGUUUAGUUUGGUUUAAAGUUUUAUCCAAACUAAACCUGUAAUAGCGG